rnacentral:rRNA from 1 species
CCGGUGGAUUUUUAGCCCUGGUGGGUAGCUUCCCGGAAACGAAAGUCUUCCGGUUCCGGGGGAAGUAUGGUUGCAAAGCUGAAACUUAAAGGAAUUGACGGAAGGGCACCACCAGGAGUGGAGCCUGCGGCUUAAUUUGACUCAACACGGGGAAACUCACCCGGCCCGGACACCGUAAGGAUUGACAGAUUGAUAGCUCUUUCAUGAUUCGGUGGUUGGUGGUGCAUGGCCGUUCUUAGUUCGUGGAUCGAUUUGUCUGGUUUAUUCCGAUAACGAGCGAGACUCUAGCCUACUAAAUAGUAACGAGAUUAUCAAUGUCUCAGUUGCUUCUUAGAGGGAUUUUCGGUGUUUAGCCGCACGAGAUUGAGCAAUAACAGGUCUGUGAUGCCCUUAGAUGUCCGGGGCUGCACGCGCGCUACACUGGCGAAAUCAGCGUGCUGUAUCCAUUCUCGAAAGGGAUUGGUAAACCCAUGAAAAUUUGCCGUGCUUGGGAUCGGAAAUUGCAAUUAUUUUCCGUGAACGAGGAAUUCCAAGUAAGUGCGAGUCAUC